rnacentral:rRNA from 1 species
AAAGUUGCUGCGGUUAAAAACCUCGUAAUUGGAUCUCAGUUACGGGCGGAAAGUGCGCGGACACCCCGUUACGUCCCGUGCUGAACAUCAUGCUUGUCGUGGCUUGGUUCCCUUCAUCAGGUGCCUCGCUCUGGCUGGCGCGUUUACUUAGAAAAAAUUAGAGUGCUCAACGCAGGCGAUUCGCCUGAAUAACAGUUCAUGGAAUAAUGGAACAAGAUCCUGUUUCUGUUCUGUUGGUUUUUGGAAAACAGGAUAAUGAUUAAGAGGGAGAGACGGGGGCAUUCGUGUUGCGGCGCUAGAGGUGAAAUUCUUGGACCGUCGCAAGACGAACUACUGCGAAAGCAUUUGCCAAGAAUGUUUUCAUUGAUCAAGAACGAAAGUUAGAGGUUCGAAGGCGAUCAGACACCGCCCUAGUUCUAACCAUAAACGAUGCCAACCAACGAUCCGCCUGAGUUACUCAAAUGACUUGGCGGGCAGCUUCCGGGAAACCAAAGUAUUUGAGUUCCG